rnacentral:rRNA from 1 species
AACCUUUACAAUGCACGGAAGUGUGAUAAGGGAACUCCCAGUGCUUAUGCAAUGCAUAGGCUUUUGUCAAGUGUAAAUAGCUUGGCGAAUAAGUGGUGGGCAAGACGGGUGCCAGCCGCCGCGGUAACACCUGCGCCACAAGUGGCAAUCGUAUUUAUUUGGCCUAAAGCGUCCGUGGCUGGUUAAGUAAAUCUCUUGUGAAAUCGUUGGGCUU